GGCGCUCGGCCGCCGAGUCCGCAGACCUGUGGAGCCGGGGACCCACCGUUCCUGGGGUGAAUCGGACGCCAGCCAGACUGCGCCCGUAGGGCACUUCCAGUCCCGAACCCGUCAGCUAACCCGGUAGGCGGCAUGGAAGCAAGGA
rnacentral:sRNA from 2 species